rnacentral:rRNA from 1 species
GACGAACCGAGCGAACGUUGUUCGGAAUCACUGGGCUUAAAGGGCGCGUAGGCGGGUGCUCAAGUCUGUGGUGAAAUCCUCCAGCUUAACUGGAGAACUGCCAUGGAUACUGGGUGUCUCGAGGAACGUAGGGGUAUGCGGAACGAUUGGUGGAGCGGUGAAAUGCGUUGAUAUCAAUCGGAACUCCGGUGGCGAAGGCGGCAUACUGGACGUUAUCUGACGCUGAGGCGCGAAAGCUAGGGGAGCAAACGGG